UACGAAGGGGGCUAGCGUUGCUCGGAAUCACUGGGCGUAAAGGGUGCGUAGGCGGGUCUUUAAGUCAGGGGUGAAAUCCUGGAGCUCAACUCCAGAACUGCCUUUGAUACUGAGGAUCUUGAGUUCGGGAGAGGUGAGUGGAACUGCGAGUGUAGAGGUGAAAUUCGUAGAUAUUCGCAAGAACACCAGUGGCGAAGGCGGCUCACUGGCCCGGUACUAACGCUGAGGUGCGAAAGCGUGGGGAGCAAACAGG
rnacentral:rRNA from 1 species